rnacentral:rRNA from 1 species
GAUGAACGCUGGCGGCGUGCCUAAUACAUGCAAGUCGAGCGAACAGAUGAGGAGCUUGCUCCUCUGACGUUAGCGGCGGACGGGUGAGUAACACGUGGAUAACCUACCUAUAAGACUGGGAUAACUUCGGGAAACCGGAGCUAAUACCGGAUAAUAUAUUGAACCGCAUGGUUCAAUAGUGAAAGACGGUUUUGCUGUCACUUAUAGAUGGAUCCGCGCCGCAUUAGCUAGUUGGUAAGGUAACGGCUUACCAAGGCAACGAUGCGCAGCCGACCUGAGAGGGUGAUCGGCCACACUGGAACUGAGACACGGUCCAGACUCCUACGGGAGGCAGCAGUAGGGAAUCUUCCGCAAAGGGCGAAAGCCUGACGGAGCAACGCCGCGUGAGUGAUGAAGGUCUUCGGAUCGUAAAACUCUGUUAUUAGGGAAGAACAAAUGUGUAAGUAACUAUGCACGUCUUGACGGUACCUAAUCAGAAAGCCACGGCUAACUACGUG